rnacentral:rRNA from 1 species
GAUGAACGCUGGCGGCGUGCUUAAUACAUGCAAGUCGAGCGAACAGACGAGGAGUUUGUUCCUUUCACGUUAGGGGAGGAGGGGUGAGACACACGUGGAAAACCUCCUUAUAAGACUGGGAUAAUUUGGGGAAACGGGCGCUAAUCCCGGAUAAUCUAUUGAACCGUAUGGUUCAUUGGUGAAAGACGGUUUUGCUGUCACUUAUAGAUGGUUCCGCGCCGCAUUAGCUAGUUGUUAAGUUAAAGGCUUUCCAAGGCAAGGAUGCGUAGCCGACCUGAGAGAGUGAUCGGCCACACUGGAACUUAGACACGGUCCAGACUCCUACGGGAGGCAGCAGUAGGGAAUCUUCCGCAAUGGGCGAAAGCCUGACGGAGCAACGCCGCGUGAGUGAUGAAGGUCUUCGGAGCGUAAAACUCUGUUAUUAGGGAAGAACAAAUGUGUAAGUAACUAUGCACGUCUUGACGGUACCUAAUCAGAAAGCCACGGCUAACUACGUG